rnacentral:rRNA from 1 species
AUGUGGAGCUGUCUUCGUCAGCGCUAUGAGCCCUCUGGUGAUGCCUUAUACCUUUCUGUGGUUCGUCAGGAGCAUGCUCUUCAGCAGGGUGACUCUACUGUUGAUGACUUUUAUGCACAGAGUUCUGCUAUCUGGCGCCAGCUUGAUUCUCUCCGCAGUGCUGGUUGUCGUACUUGCCCCUGCUGCCAGGCUGUCCAGGCCAAUUUGGAGUUUCAUCGCGUCUACGAGUUCCUGUCUCGGCUCCGUAAGGAGUUUGAGCCCCGGCGUGCUCAGUUGUUUGCUCGUGGCCGUAUUUCUCUCAUGGAGGUGCUUUCAGAGAUUCGUUCUGAGGAGACUCGCUUACGUGGUGCUGGUUUGCUGGAGGUUCCCUCUGUGCUCGCUACUCGGGCUUCUUCCACUCCACCUGCUGCACCGACCCAUUCUCGCUCGAGUACUCCGCCGCUCUUGCCCACUCCUUCUGGAGGCUGAGGUCGCCCCCGUCCACAUUGUGACUACUGCAACAAUGAUGGUCAUAUUGAGUCCCAGUGCUACACAAAGCGGAAACACCUGCGCAAGGCGCGAUCAUCAUCCUCAAGGACUUCGUCA